UGUGCCGGCCGACGCCGC
rnacentral:misc_RNA from 1 species